GACGAACGCUGGCGGCGUGCUUAACACAUGCAAGUCGAACGGAAAGGCCCUGCUUUUGUGGGGUGCUCGAGUGGCGAACGGGUGAGUAACACGUGAGUAACCUGCCCUUGACUUUGGGAUAACUUCAGGAAACUGGGGCUAAUACCGGAUAGGAGCUCCUGCUGCAUGGUGGGGGUUGGAAAGUUUCGGCGGUUGGGGAUGGACUCGCGGCUUAUCAGCUUGUUGGUGGGGUAGUGGCUUACCAAGGCUUUGACGGGUAGCCGGCCUGAGAGGGUGACCGGACACAUUGGGGCUGGGGUACGGCACAGCACCCUGCGGGGCGGAAGAGUGGGGAAUAAUGCACAAUGGGGGGGAGGCUGGUGCAGGCACGCCGCGUGCGGGAAGACGGGCUUCGGGUUGUAAACCGCUUUCGCCUGGGACGAAGGGUGAGUGACGGUAAUGGGUAAAGAAGCACCGGCUAACUACGUG
rnacentral:rRNA from 1 species